CAGCUAGGCCGUCCAUGAGGUCGUA
rnacentral:miRNA from 1 species